rnacentral:rRNA from 1 species
UACAGAGGGUGCGAGCGUUGUUCGGAAUUAUUGGGCGUAAAGCGCAUGUAGGCGGUCUGUUAAGUCGCGUGUGAAAUCCCCGGGCUUAACCUGGGAAUGGCAUUGGUGACUGCACGGCUAGAGUGUGUCAGAGGGAGGUGGAAUUCCACGUGUAGCGGUGAAAUGCGUAGAGAUGUGGAGGAACACCGAUGGCGAAGGCAGCCUCCUGGGCCAAUACUGACGCUCAUGCACGAAAGCGUGGGGAGCAAACAGG